UUUAAAUGUAAUCGUGGGUUUCCAUAUCUAACGUUUGACUGUCCGUUUUAUUUAAUUUUUUUAAUGAUUAGUAUUUCUAUUGUUAUUAGAUGAUAAAAUAUGAAUAAUACUUUAUGUGUGGUUUAUUUUUUAACUUUUUUAUAAAAUUUUAAAUAAAACAGACGAUCAAACGUUAGACACGAAAGCUUGCAGCUACAUUUAAA
rfam:Oryza nivara chromosome 4, whole genome shotgun sequence.